rnacentral:rRNA from 1 species
GAUGAACGCUGGCGGCGUGCCUAAUACAUGCAAGUCGAGCGAACAGACGAGGAGCUUGCUCCUCUGACGUUAGCGGCGGACGGGUGAGUAACACGUGGAUAACCUACCUAUAAUACUGGGAUAACUUCGGGACACCGGAGCUAAUACCGGAUAAUAUAUUGAACCGCAUGGUUCAAUAGUGAAAGACGGUUUUGCUGUCACUUAUAGAUGGAUCUGCGCCGCAUUGGCUAGUUGGUAAGGUAACGGCUUACCAAGGCGACGAUGCGUAGCCGACCUGAGAGGGUGAUCGGCGGCCCUAGAACGGAGACACGGUCCAGGCUCCUACGAGAGGCAGCAGUAGGGAAUCUUACGCAAUGGGCGAAAGCCUGACGGAGCAAGGCGGCGUGAGUGAUGAAGGUCUUCGGAUCGUAAAGCUCUGUUAUUAGGUAAGAACAAAUGUGUAAGUAACUAUGCACGUCUUGACGGUACCUAAUCAGAAAGCCACGGCUAACUACGUG